rnacentral:tRNA from 1 species
UCCCUGAUAGCUCAGUUGGUAAAGAAUCCGUUUGCAAUGCAGGAGACCCUGGUUCAAUCCCUGGUUUGGGAA